CCCUUUUCAGGGUCGCAUCCGUAGAGUUUCCAGUACUCUACCAGUAUCGGCUAUGGGAGGGAGAGUCAAGCAGAGGCCUACCCAUUCUAUUCCUAGCUAGGGCGGUGGCUGGCGAGUAGAAGGCAAUCUGCCACAAGU